GAAACCGUUUAAAAACNGCNAAAAAAGACUCAUUCGCAAUGCGAAGGUCUGCGGUUCAAUUCCGCAUGGCUCCACCA
rnacentral:tRNA from 1 species